ACGGGUGAGUAACGCGUGGGAACAUACCUCUUGGUUCGGAACAACACAGGGAAACUUGUGCUAAUACCGGAUAAGCCCUUACGGGGAAAGAUUUAUCGCCUAGAGAUUGGCCCGCGUCUGAUUACCUGGUUGGUGGGGUAAAGGCCUACCAAGGCGACGAUCAAUAACUGGUCUGAGAGGAUGAUCAGCCACAUUGGGACUGAGACACGGCCCAAACUCCUACCGGAGGCAGCACUGGGGAAUAUUGGACAAUGGGCGCAAGCCUGAUCCAGCCAUGCCGCGAGAGUGAUGAACGCCCUAGGGUUGUAAAGCUCUAUUGUACUGGAAGAUAAUGACGGUUCCGUACGAAUAAACCCCGGCUAACUUCGUGCCAGCGGCCGCGGUAAUACCAAGGGGGCUAGCGUUGCUCGGAAUCACUGGGCGUAAAGGGUGCGUAAGCGGGUUUUUAAGUCUUAGGUGAAAUCCUGGAGCUCAACUCCUGAACUGCCUUUGAUACUGAAAGUCUUGAAUAUGGGAGAGGUGAGUGGAACUGCUAGUGUAGAGGUGAAAUUCCUAGA
rnacentral:rRNA from 1 species